ensembl:misc_RNA 7SK 7SK RNA
GGCUAGAAAGGUGAUUUGACUGGGUCAUCUACCACUACAGUGAUUUCCAGAGACAAUUCUGUUGGUUUUACUGGCUAGGCAGGUGUGUUCUUUCUCCCUCUCUCCAGUCUGCGAGUGGCCCUCCCGAGGCCCAUUCUUUGGUCAUGGAUAUUCAUAGAAGGCAUUCAAGUUUCCUGAUUGAAUUAAUCAUAGUGCUAUUGACCUCUCAGGGCAGUUCUACUCCGUGUAUGGUCCUGAGAAGGGCAAAAUAGCAACACCUGGGAGCUUGCUAGAAAGGCAGCUUCUCAGG